UUUUGCUUCAGUGGUACAUAUUAUAAAUUGGAACGAUACAGAGAAGAUUAGCAUGGUCUGUGUGCAAGCAUGACAUGCAAAAUUGUGAAGCAUUAUAUAUUAAA